UAAUUGUCAGCGGGUCCCGGGACCGAACC
rnacentral:piRNA from 1 species